UACGUAGGGUGCAAGCGUUGUCCGGAAUUAUUGGGCGUAAAGAGCUCGUAGGCGGUUUGUUGCGUCGGCUGUGAAAUCCCGAGGCUCAACCUCGGGUCUGCAGUCGAUACGAGCAAACUAGAGUGUUGCAGGGGAGACUGGAAUUCCUGGUGUAGCGGUGAAAUGCGCAGAUAUCAGGAGGAACACCGGUGGCGAAGGCGGGUCUCUGGGCAGUAACUGACGCUGAGGAGCGAAAGCGUGGGUAGCGAACAGG
rnacentral:rRNA from 1 species